ensembl:lncRNA
CAUGUCUGUUCUAAAGAUCCACAGGUGAACACCUCCUCCAAGAGAAUACACCUCUUUUUUUCAGUGUGAAAAAACUCAGAUUAAAAUGGAAGAGGAAAACACACUGUAAAGCCCAGGAGCCCUAAAAAAGACCAACUGAACUGCUGUAUGAUACCGCAUUAUCCAAGUCAGUCUAAUAGGGAGACCGUGGGAAUGGAUGGACCUCAUGCUGGAUGCCUACAUGGAUGUGGGGGUUCCAGGCCCUUUUGGGAAGUGCAGUGCUGCAAAGGAUUUAGUACAUCACUGAAGUCAAACAUGGCUACGAAUCAGAUUCACUGCAUGUGACAGAAGAUGAGUAAGCUAAGCUCUGUUUCGGUGCUCUUGGAUGAGGUGACAUCACUUAUAUACUAUCUGAACCAUCUGAAACGUCUCUAAUAAUGAUAAAAGCAUUUUAGGCUGGAAAAGAUCCUGAAGAUCAUUGGGUCCAGUCAUCCACCUAACUACCAAGUCCAGCACUUAACAGAAGGAGAACUGAAUGGUCACCACGCAGGACAUGAAGUUAUUCCCACUCAAUCCAGACAGAAUCUCACAGUGAUGCAAAUUUAUUUGUUAAGGCUGGGUGCUCAUCCAAGUUGGGUCAGCAUCAGUUUGCACAAUAUAGGGAUCUACUACUUGACCAUUAGGCAUUGCCUCUUUCCACUCUGACACAGUUUCUUCCUGGGAGAACAAGGGGAUUUACUAUCUCGGGAUUUCUGAGGACUGGAGCUGGCUGAGCAUUCCUCAUGGCCCUGAGUUAUAUGGGAAUUUAGCAAGCCUCUCUUCUCAGGCAGCAGAUCCCUCAUCUCAAGAAAUCUCUUGAUUAAACUGUCAAGCUCUGCGACGGGCAGCUGAAGGGAGCAACAGAUUUUGAAGAAAUAUUUUUGAUUAUUCCCAGCAUGGACAGAACGAUGACAUACAGCGGGUCUAGCAAACUUGCCUGGCA